GAAGCGUCUGGAAAGGCGCGCGAUACAGGGUGACAGCCCCGUACACAAAAGUGCAUGUGCUGUGAGCUCGAUGAGUAGGGCGGGACACGUGGUAUCCUGUCUGAAUAUGGGGGGACCAUCCUCCAAGGCUAAAUACUCCUGACUGACCGAUAGUGAACCAGUACCGUGAGGGAAAGGCGAAAAGAACCCCGGCGAGGGGAGUGAAAAAGAACCUGAAACCGUGUACGUACAAGCAGUGGGAGCACAGGUUUACCUGUGUGACUGCGUACCUUUUGUAUAAUGGGUCAGCGACUUAUAUUCUGUAGCAAGGUUAACCGUAUAGGGGAGCCGUAGGGAAACCGAGUCUUAACCGGGCGUUAAGUUGCAGGGUAUAGACCCGAAACCCGGUGAUCUAGCCAUGGGCAGGUUGAAGGUUGGGUAACACUAACUGGAGGACCGAACCGACUAAUGUUGAAAAAUUAGCGGAUGACCUGUGGCUGGGGGUGAAAGGCCAAUCAAACCGGGAGAUAGCUGGUUCUCCCCGAAAGCUAUUUAGGUAGCGCCUCGUGAACUCAUCUCCGGGGGUAGAGCACUGUUUCGGCUAGGGGGCCAUCCCGGCUUACCAACCCGAUGCAAACUGCGAAUACCGGAGAAUGUUAUCACGGGAGACACACGGCGGGUGCUAACGUCCGUCGUGAAGAGGGAAACAACCCAGACCGCCAGCUAAGGUCCCAAAGUCAUGGUUAAGUGGGAAACGAUGUGGGAAGGCCCAGACAGCCAGGAUGUUGGCUUAGAAGCAGCCAUCAUUUAAAGAAAGCGUAAUAGCUCACUGGUCGAGUCGGCCUGCGCGGAAGAUGUAACGGGGCUAAACCAUG
rnacentral:rRNA from 1 species